rnacentral:rRNA from 1 species
UACGGAGGGUGCAAGCGUUGUCCGGAUUCAUUGGGUUUAAAGGGUGCGCAGGCGGGCCAUUAAGUCAGGGGUGAAAGACGGUUGCUCAACAAUCGCAGUGCCUUUGAUACUGGUGUUCUUGGGUGACGGUGAGGUAGGCGGAAUGGGUGGUGUAGCGGUGAAAUGCAUAGAUACCACCCAGAACUCCGAUUGCGAAGGCAGCCUACUGGUCGUUAACCGACGCUCAGGCACGAAAGCGUGGGGAUCAAACAGG